AGAGUUUGAUCAUGGCUCAGAUUGAACGCUGGCGGCAGGCCUAACACAUGCAAGUCGAGCGGUAGCACAGAGAGCUUGCUCUCGGGUGACGAGCGGCGGACGGGUGAGUAAUGUCUGGGAAACUGCCUGAUGGAGGGGGAUAACUACUGGAAACGGUAGCUAAUACCGCAUAACGUCGCAAGACCAAAGUGGGGGACCUUCGGGCCUCAUGCCAUCAGAUGUGCCCAGAUGGGAUUAGCUAGUAGGUGGGGUAACGGCUCACCUAGGCGACGAUCCCUAGCUGGUCUGAGAGGAUGACCAGCCACACUGGAACUGAGACACGGUCCAGACUCCUACGGGAGGCAGCAGUGGGGAAUAUUGCACAAUGGGCGCAAGCCUGAUGCAGCCAUGCCGCGUGUGUGAAGAAGGCCUUCGGGUUGUAAAGCACUUUCAGCGGGGAGGAAGGCGAUAAGGUUAAUAACCUUGUCGAUUGACGUUACCCGCAGAAGAAGCACCGGCUAACUCCGUGCCAGCAGCCGCGGUAAUACGGAGGGUGCAAGCGUUAAUCGGAAUUACUGGGCGUAAAGCGCACGCAGGCGGUCUGUCAAGUCGGAUGUGAAAUCCCCGGGCUCAACCUGGGAACUGCAUUCGAAACUGGCAGGCUAGAGUCUUGUAGAGGGGGGUAGAAUUCCAGGUGUAGCGGUGAAAUGCGUAGAGAUCUGGAGGAAUACCGGUGGCGAAGGCGGCCCCCUGGACAAAGACUGACGCUCAGGUGCGAAAGCGUGGGGAGCAAACAGGAUUAGAUACCCUGGUAGUCCACGCCGUAAACGAUGUCGAUUUGGAGGUUGUGCCCUUGAGGCGUGGCUUCCGGAGCUAACGCGUUAAAUCGACCGCCUGGGGAGUACGGCCGCAAGGUUAAAACUCAAAUGAAUUGACGGGGGCCCGCACAAGCGGUGGAGCAUGUGGUUUAAUUCGAUGCAACGCGAAGAACCUUACCUGGUCUUGACAUCCACAGAACUUUCCAGAGAUGGAUUGGUGCCUUCGGGAACUGUGAGACAGGUGCUGCAUGGCUGUCGUCAGCUCGUGUUGUGAAAUGUUGGGUUAAGUCCCGCAACGAGCGCAACCCUUAUCCUUUGUUGCCAGCGGUCAGGCCGGGAACUCAAAGGAGACUGCCAGUGAUAAACUGGAGGAAGGUGGGGAUGACGUCAAGUCAUCAUGGCCCUUACGACCAGGGCUACACACGUGCUACAAUGGCAUAUACAAAGAGAAGCGACCUCGCGAGAGCAAGCGGACCUCAUAAAGUAUGUCGUAGUCCGGAUUGGAGUCUGCAACUCGACUCCAUGAAGUCGGAAUCGCUAGUAAUCGUAGAUCAGAAUGCUACGGUGAAUACGUUCCCGGGCCUUGUACACACCGCCCGUCACACCAUGGGAGUGGGUUGCAAAAGAAGUAGGUAGCUUAACCUUCGGGAGGGCGCUUACCACUUUGUGAUUCAUGACUGGGGUGAAGUCGUAACAAGGUAACCGUAGGGGAACCUGCGGUUGGAUCACCU
rnacentral:rRNA from 1 species